CCCUUAGAUGUCCGGGGCUGCACGCGCGCUACACUGAAGGAAUCAGCGUGCUAAAACCAUUGUCGAAAGGCAUUGGUAAACCCAUUAAAAUCCUACGUGAUUGGGAUCGGGAAUUGCAAUUAUUUCCCUUGAACGAGGAAUUCCCAGUAAGUGUGGGUCAUAAGCUCGCGUUGAUUACGUCCCUGCCCUUUGUACACACCGCCCGUCGCUGCCCGGGACUGAGCCGUCUCGAGAAAAGCGGGGACUGCUGCUGUCGGGGCUUUCGGGCCUUGGCUUCGGUGGAAACCGCUUUAAUCGCAGUGGCUUGAACCGGGCAAAAGUCGUAACA
rnacentral:rRNA from 1 species